UAAUAUUAUUAUGGGUGUUUCAAAAACGAUUGUGACUUUUUUUCUUGUAAUAGUAUUUACAGUUCUGUUGUCCAACCAUAACAUUUUGGUUUCAGGUGAAGAGAUAGAAAAAAUUUCAUAUGACCACUGCGAUACGUUGUGUACGCCUUAUUACGGAUGGCAUGAAUGUUUAACUGACUGUAAUAAUGAAGGCUGGGCAACUGGGAUAUGUGCUUCUCGUUCUUCUAAAGAACCUAAGAGAUGUUGUUGUCAAACGUAAUCUUUUAUUAAAAAGAAAAAGAACACAUAAUCUUCGCUAUAAUGAAUAAUUGAUGAUUCGAGUGUUGUAAAAGAUCCUAUGGAAUUUAUGAAAUGGAAAAAAAAAAACAGCGUUUUU